AAAAAAAGAGAACAAAACGGAAACCUCAAAAAACGGAAACCCCAUCAUCGUUUCAACUUUUAUUACCAGAAAGAAACCCUUGUAAAAGAAACGCAGGUUUCGACAGCACCAAAAAUAUAAAAGAUCAACAAAUUCUUGAGGCAGACUGUUUUAAUAUGUCAGAACAUUAAGCAGAAUAGUUGAGCUGUCAAAGAUAUUCAACCUGUGUUUUUCUCUACGGCAUUCACUUCCUCCUCUUGUUAUCCACAUAUCUGAAUCUUUUCUUUGGUUUGAGUGGAAUGACAAUUUUGUUAUCGUUGCCUUUUCUGAUUUGAGAGAGGUUAGCCUAUUGUAUUAAAUGCUUGAAACGAAAUUCUUUGAUUGAGAUGUGCAGGUAAUUAAGAGAAGUUUUGGAGGGAGAAGUGGAAGAAGAAAGGCUUGGUACCAAAAUUCCAUACAAAAUGUUUAGACUGAGCUCAGUGUAAUUAUAAAACUAACAUUACUGAGAGGGUAAGAGAAAAAAAAAUCCGCAAAUAGUGUUCAGCAUUUCCUGAUUGUGCAGAAUUACAUAAGAAAAGUGUGAGACCAUUACCUGUGACCAUUUUUUUUUUGUUGAAUCAAAACAAAUGAGAAGUACUGGGAAUCAAAUUUGGGAACACCGACAUCAAGAUAGAUAUUUUUUGUCUUUCUUGGACUCAAGGCAUGAAAAUGAUGCAGCUCUUUGUUCAAUAGUUGCUAUAUCCUGAUAUAACCAAUUUCAUUUCUGUCAUAUUGGUUUUAUUGGUAUGCGAGGGACAGUGGAGGAUACCUUUACGACAUACAUUUUCUUUGGUAUUCAGGACAAGGCUUGGAAGUAUGCCAUCAGAAUCUGAUAAGUGGGGAUGGGAACAUGUUAGUGUGUUUGGUGGAUUUGACAGGGGAAGUGGUACAAAAAGGUGGAAAUGUAACCACUGUAAUCUACGAUAUAAUGGAUCUUAUUCACGUGUCAGGGCCCACCUUCUAGGCUUCUCAGGUGUUGGGGUCAAAAGUUGUCCUUCUAUCGACAGGUCUUUACGAGAAGCAUUUCAGGUCCUAGAAGAGGAGCGUGUUGCACAGAAGAAGAAAAAGAGCUGUGUCAUUGGGAAGCCUGGUAAACUUAUUCGGACUUCUCAGCCAACUCUUGCCUGGAAAACCAUCACAAAAGAAGAUGUAGAUGACAUAGUAGCUAGAUUUUUUUAUGCUGAUGGUUUAAAUAUUGAUAUCAUCAACUCUUCUUACUUUCGUGAAAUGGUGAAAGCAAUUGGUUCUUUCGGGUCUGGGUAUGAGCUCCCAUCAAUAGAUAAGCUGUCUGAUUCUUUUCUAAGCAAAGAGAAAGGGAGGAUUGAAAAAUCAGUAGCUCUAGCUAGGGAGUCCUGGCCACAUACGGGAUGCACAAUACUGUGUGCAGGUCGAUUAGAUGGUGCAUUAGGUAGCCUAAACAUCAGUAUAUUUGUCUCCAGCUCAAGGGGACUUGUAUUCUUAAAAGCAGUUGAUGUGGAUGAUACUGAUGAGGGAGAGCAUGUGUUUACUAGUGCUCUCACUGAUACAAUUAUGGAAGUUGGCCCCACAAAUGUUCUUCAGAUAGUCUCACAUCUAGGCGAUGCAUGCAAAUCAUCUGAAUCCUAUGUAUUGUCGAAGUUCCCUAAUAUAUUUUGGUCUCCUUGCACUUCACAUUCUGUGUUCAUGUUGAUGGAAGAAAUAGCUGAAGUGGAAUGGGUAAAACCUAUUGUCUUGCGUGCCAAGACAAUUGAGGAAUGCAUGAUCACAUAUCAACAUAAUUCAUCAUGUUCUUUCGGUCAAAAUUUGAAAGAGUUGUCUGAUCCAAUAUCUGCCAAAUUUGCACCUUCCUAUUGUUUUCUCCUGAGGGUCUUUGGGCUAAGGCAAUCACUUCAGGAUAUGGUUGUUAGUGAGGACUGGAAGCAAUGGAAGCAUAAUAUUGCAGAGGAUGUUGUAAAUGUGGAAUCUGCCAUUUUAGAUGAUGGUUUCUGGAGAAAUGCUCAUUCGCUGUUGCAGUUGUAUGAGCCAUUUGUAAGGUUGCUUGCUACCAUGGAUAUUGGCAAAUCUGUUAUUGGGGCAGCUUAUGACUGGCGGUUUCAGGCACUUGAAGCCUUGAGGAGUCAGGCAAUUGAUGAUGGCAUAUUGAAUCAGUUAGAAGGGCUGGUUGAGAACAGGUGGGAUGUUCUAUUUUCCCCUCUUCACGCUGCAGGUUAUUUACUGAAUCCUAGAUAUAUUGGGAAGGGUCAAACAAAAGAUAAAUCUGUAAUGCGGGGCUGGAAAGCUACUCUAGAAAGAUACGAGGGUGAAAGCACAGCCAGACGUGUUCUCAGAGAGCAGCUCAGCUCAUACUGGCGUCUGGAGGGAUCCUUGGGAGAGGAAGAUGCUGUGGAUUGCAGGGAUAAAAUGGACCCAGUUGCAUGGUGGGAAAACUUCGGUUUUGAAACACCCAGCUUGCAAACACUAGCCAUAAAGGUUCUGAGCCAGGUUUCAAGUGUUGCUAUGUUUGAAGAGAUUUGGCAAGCUAAUGACUUCUCAUGUCGAGAAGCAGCAGGCAGGUUGGGAGUGCAGAAAAUGGAAGAUCUUUUUUUCAUUCGCAACAAUCUCAGACUUCAUGGUCGAAUAAAUGGGAAUUCAUGCUUCUCAUUUGCCCAAAGAAACGCCUUUUCAAGCUCCUCUUCUGGAGUUAAGACACGGGAAGGUCUGCAUCUUGAUCAAUCUAAUGCGAUGGUAGAUAUCCAUGAAAAAUUAUAAUAAAGCUUUCUCCGCUUCUAAAUUGGGGCUGGACUGCUUUUAUUAAUCAGCAGGUUGCAUGUCAGCUACCUGCAUUCACUGGACUUUGCUGUGCACUGAUCAGGAUGAUCCUUUUGAGGAAAAUCGAUUUCUGCUUGAAUCAAGAGUGGAGAGGAAAAUAAGAAAAGGAGAGUGUAACCAUUUAGACGUUUUACCCGUUUGGGAAUGGAGUCAGCUGCACAGUUGGCAGCAUUCCCAAACAAAGCCCAAGGUGAAUCCAGAAAAAAGAAGAAGAAGAAAAGAAAAUGCCUUCAGGUCUAAGCAUAAAAGAAGCAUACUUUCUGCCCUAUUUACUCGAUGGUGAACCUCUUGGACCAGCCCUCACCCAGGAUUUAUGCCCUUUGAUGUACGAAAGAAGAAUAAGUGGAAUGGAGCAGCAAGAAGAGGUCUCUGUAUUAAUUUGUAUUUGUUGGAUUCGAGAACAUUAAAACAUAUUUGACUCUCGACCCCAUUGAUCCACACACAACAUAAAUCACGGUGCCUCAGGUGUAUUGAUCUUGUUCUUUAUGAGUAGUGGAAAGAGAUUAAUAAUAGGUUAUUAUCAAUUUAGAGGGA